AUUGAACGCUGGCGGCAGGCCUAACACAUGCAAGUCGAGCGGAUGAAGGGAGCUUGCUCCUGGAUUCAGCGGCGGACGGGUGAGUAAUGCCUAGGAAUCUGCCUGGCAGUGGGGGAUAACGUCCGGAAACGGGCGCUAAUACCGCAUACGUCCUGAGGGAGAAAGUGGGGGAUCUUCGGACCUCACGCUAUCAGAUGAGCCUAGGUCGGAUUAGCUAGUUGGUGGGGUAAAGGCCUACCAAGGCGACGAUCCGUAACUGGUCUGAGAGGAUGAUCAGUCACACUGGAACUGAGACACGGUCCAGACUCCUACGGGAGGCAGCAGUGGGGAAUAUUGCACAAUGGGCGAAAGCCUGAUCCAGCCAUGCCGCGUGUGUGAAGAAGGUCUUCGGAUUGUAAAGCACUUUAAGUUGGGAGGAAGGGCAGUAAGUUAAUCCCUUGCUGUUUUGACGUUACCAACAGAAUAAGCACCGGCUAACUUCGUG
rnacentral:rRNA from 1 species